GAUCCUGGCUCAGGAUGAACGCUAGCUACAGGCUUAACACAUGCAAGUCGAGGGGCAGCAUCAUCAAAGCUUGCUUUGAUGGAUGGCGACCGGCGCACGGGUGAGUAACACGUAUCCAACCUGCCGACAACACUGGGAUAGCCUUUCGAAAGAAAGAUUAAUACCGGAUGGUAUAGUUUUCCCGCAUGGGAUGAUUAUUAAAGAAUUUCGGUUGUCGAUGGUGNUGUCU
rnacentral:rRNA from 1 species